AUGCAGUCGAGCGAACAGAUAAGGAGCUUGCUCCUUUGACGUUAGCGGCGGACGGGUGAGUAACACGUGGAUAACCUACCUAUAAGACUGGGAUAACUUCGGGAAACCGGAGCUAAUACCGGAUAACAUAUUGAACCGCAUGGUUCAAUAGUGAAAGGCGGCUUUGCUGUCACUUAUAGAUGGAUCCGCGCCGUAUUAGCUAGUUGGUAAGGUAACGGCUUACCAAGGCAACGAUACGUAGCCGACCUGAGAGGGUGAUCGGCCACACUGGAACUGAGACACGGUCCAGACUCCUACGGGAGGCAGCAGUAGGGAAUCUUCCGCAAUGGGCGAAAGCCUGACGGAGCAACGCCGCGUGAGUGAUGAAGGUCUUCGGAUCGUAAAACUCUGUUAUCAGGGAAGAACAAAUGUGUAAGUAACUGUGCACAUCUUGACGGUACCUGAUCAGAAAGCCACGGCUAACUACGUGCCAGCAGCCGCGGUAAUACGUAGGUGGCAAGCGUUAUCCGGAAUUAUUGGGCGUAAAGCGCGCGUAGCGGUUUUUUUAAGUCUGAUGUGAAAGCCCACGGCUCAACCCGUGGAGGGUCAUUGGAAACUGGAAAACUUGAGUGCAGAAGAGGAAAGUGGAAUUCCAUGUGUAGCGGUGAAAUGCGCAGAGAUAUGGAGGAACACCAGUGGCGAAGGCGACUUUCUGGUCUGUAACUGACGCUGAUGUGCGAAAGCGUGGGGAUCAAACAGGAUUAGAUACCCUGGUAGUCCACGCCGUAAACGAUGAGUGCUAAGUGUUAGGGGGUUUCCGCCCCUUAGUGCUGCAGCUAACGCAUUAAGCACUCCGCCUGGGGAGUACGACCGCAAGGUUGAAACUCAAAGGAAUUGACGGGGACCCGCACAAGCGGUGGAGCAUGUGGUUUAAUUCGAAGCAACGCGAAGAACCUUACCAAAUCUUGACAUCCUUUGACCGCUCUAGAGAUAGAGUCUUCCCCUUCGGGGGACAAAGUGACAGGUGGUGCAUGGUUGUCGUCAGCUCGUGUCGUGAGAUGUUGGGUUAAGUCCCGCAACGAGCGCAACCCUUAAGCUUAGUUGCCAUCAUUAAGUUGGGCACUCUAAGUUGACU
rnacentral:rRNA from 1 species